CCUACGUGAGGCAGCAGUGAGGAAUAUUGGUCAAUGGGCUUACGCCUGAACCAGCCAAGUCGCGUGAGGGAAGACUGCCCUAUGGGUUGUAAACCUCUUUUGUCAGGGAGCAACGCCGGCUACGUGUAGCGGGACUGAGAGUACCUGAAGAAAAAGCAUCGGCUAACUCCGUGCCAGCAGCCGCGGUAAUACGGAGGAUGCGAGCGUUAUCCGGAUUUAUUGGGUUUAAAGGGUGCGUAGGCGGCAUUCUAAGUCAGCGGUGAAAGUCUGGGGCACAAACAUUGCAUUGCCGUUGAAACUGGUAGGCUGGAGUAUGUGUGAGGCAGGCGGAAUGCGUGGUGUAGCGGUGAAAUGCUUAGAUAGCACGCAGAACCCCGAUUGCGAAGGCAGCCUGCCAGGCCAUAACUGACGCUGAUGCACGAAAGCGUGGGGAUCAAACAGGAUUAGAUACCCGGGUAGUC
rnacentral:rRNA from 1 species